rnacentral:rRNA from 1 species
GAUGAACGCUGGCGGCGUGCCUAAUACAUGCAAGUCGAGCGAACCGACGAGGAGCUUGCUCCUCUGACUUUAGCGGCGGACGGGUGCGUCACAUGUGGAUAACCUAACUAUCAGACUGGGAUACCUUCGCGAAACCGGAGCUACUAACGGAUGAUAUAUUGCCCUUCAUUGUUCACUCGUGAAAGAAGGUUUUUCUGUCGCUUAUAGAUUGCUCAGCGCCGCAUUAGCUAGUUGUUAAGGUAAAGGCUUAACAAGACAACGACGCUUAGCCGACCCGAGAGGGUGAACGGCUAGACUGGAACAGAGACACGGCCGACACACCGACAGGAGGCAGCAGUAGGGAAUCUUCCGCGAGGGACGAGAGCCUGACGGAGCAACGCCGGGGGAGGGAUGAAGCACUACGGAUCGUAGAACUCUGUUAGUAGGAAAGAACAAAAGUGUAAUUAACUAGGCACAUCAUGACAGUACCGAGUCAGAAAGCCACGGCUAACUACGUG